GUUCCUUCGGGAGCUAUGGACAUAAACGCGCUCGUAAUAAGCGGAUCGGACCCGGGGGCGGUACCCGGCGACUCCACCA
rnacentral:tmRNA from 1 species